UACGUAGGGUGCGAGCGUUGCCCGGAUUUAUUGGGCGUCAAGAGCGUGUAGGCGGCUUGGUAGGUCCGCUGUGAAAACUCGAGGCUCAACCUCGAGAUGUCGGCGGAAACCACUUGGCUAGAGUCCGGAAGAGGAGAGUGGAAUUCCUGGUGUAGCGGUGAAAUGCGCAGAUAUCAGGAAGAACACCUAUGGCGAAGGCAGCUCUCUGGGACGGUACUGACGCUGAGACGCGAAAGCGUGGGGAGCGAACAGG
rnacentral:rRNA from 1 species